UGGCGAUGACUUACUCUCACAUGGGCAACCCCACACUACCAUCAGCGCGAAGAGGUUUCACUUCUGAGUUCGGGAAGGGAUCAGGUGGUUCACUCUUGCUAUUGUCGCCA
rnacentral:rRNA from 1 species